rnacentral:rRNA from 1 species
CCUACGUGCGGCUGCAGUGGGGAAUAUUGCGCAAUGGGCGAAAGCCUGACGCAGCGACGCCGCGUGAGUGAUGAAGGUUUUCGGAUCGUAAACCUCUGUCAGAAGGGAAGAAGUUGCAUGGGGCCAAUCACCUGUGCAUUGACGGUACCUUUAAAGGAAGCACCGGCUAACUCCGUGCCAGCAGCCGCGGUAAUACGGAGGGUGCGAGAGUUAAUCGGAAUUACUGGCCGUAAAGCGCACGUAGACGGUAUGUCAAGUCAAGGGUGAACUCCCACGCCUCAACCGUGGAACUGCCUUUGAAACUGGCAAACUGGAGUAUGUGAGAGGGCGGCGGAAUUCCUGGUGUAGGGGUGAAAUCCGUAGAUAUCAGGAGGAACAUCAGUGGCGAAGGCGGCCGCCUGGCACAAAACUGACGCUGAGGUGCGAAAGCGUGGGUAGCAAACAGGAUUAGAUACCCUGGUAGUC